GCGGGAUGUGCAGGUGAAGUGCUCCAGCUCUGAGGACGAAUCCUGGAAGAGAAAACCUGAUCCCAGGGCAUGAAGAAGGAGGAAAAGGAUGCAGGAAAGAAUUUAAGAGGCAAAGUGGAUGUGAUAAAGGAACGAGAAGAUCAUGAGAAAAGAUGAAAAAGAGAACAGUGACUGACCCAUGUCAUGAAGCAUCAGUUUCUAAACUUUGCUGUAUGCAGGCUCAAUGACUCUCCAAGAUAUGCAGAGCUUUGGGCCAGGAUCCUACAGCCACGGGUCAUGCAGAGCCAGUUGGCCACAUCCUUUGGGCCAAAUUUGGUCCUAACCAGGUCUUACCACGGUAACUGCUAACCAGUCCAUCUUCAGUUAAUAUUUCAUGCGUAAGAUGUUUCAUGAAGUAACUGAAUGGGCUAAUGGGUUGUUCACUGGAUAAGACUCCCAGAUACUCCCUUUCAUGCCAUUCCCCAGAAUUCCUUCACCUCCCAGUGCUGUCUGUAAGGGUGAAGAUACUCCAUUUUGCCCCAUGCUCUUUGCUGUGCCCCAGAUAGGCUCAAACAUUUUUCCCUUUUGGGGAUUUUGCAGGUAGGAAUUGUUGAACAUCUUACCAUUUAAUCCAGAAGUUAUGUCCUUUAAGGAAUCGACCCUGAGCCUGUGAGUUUUACUUUGGGUUGGGGGUGAAGGAGUGGACCUUGCAGCAUUCAAGGUCAUCCAAGAUCAUCCAGUUAAGGCCCCUAAGGUCACUACGGGGGGAAAAGCCUGGUGAGGGAAGAGAAAGCAUUAGGGGGAGCUGCACCGUGCUGAGAAAUAACACCACACAGAAGUCUGUGUUCUAAUCUCAGCUCUGCUUUGCAUUACUGUGUGACCUGGAGCUGAUCACAGCCCUCUGAGUCUUAAAGGGGUUGGACAAGGCCAACUAAACAUUAGAAACACCUGAAAGUGCUGGUUAAAAGGAAGAAUGCAUGAGCUUCACUCCAGAUUUACUAUAUCAGAAUUUCCAGGGUCAGGGUCCAAGAAUCUGCAUGUUUAAUACGCUUUCCACAUGAUUUUUCCCCCCUCUGGACUUAAGAAAACAAUGGGCAAGUCAGCUCAUGAAGAACUUUUCAGAUAUUCAGACUAUUAUUCUGAGAGAGAAAAUAUUGGCAGAGAACAGAUGGGAUUUUUCUCAAGGAAAAGAAAUGGAAAUCCUACAUCUUGCAAGAAAUAGAAAAAAAUAAAUAAACUGUUUGAAGAAGAAUCACAUCAGGCUGGCAGGAGAGAGCCUGCGGCUCGGUGUCUGACCCAGAAUGUUAAAGCCAGCCUGGCUUGGCUCCAGGAUAAAGGACACUCUGUCAGCCUCUCCACAUUGAUUCAUCUCCCCAGCCCCAAGAUCAGGAGAGCAUUCUGUUCCUUGAAGCAUUUUAUGACUGUAAGUCAGAAGUGCUGCAGUUUUAAUAAAAAGCUGUAUUGUCCUGAUCUUGUGCAAUAUACUGAACUAUCAUUUUCCAACUGUUGGCUUGCAUACUGGUUUGUGUGAGUAAGCCCGUCCAUCCACAUCACUAAAAGAUAGUAGUAGUAACAACAAUGAC
rnacentral:lncRNA from 10 species